rnacentral:rRNA from 1 species
CAGGUCAAAGAGAACAACUACACGAGGAUCUGCGAGCAGAAAAGCAUGCUCACCGUGAACGGCCAGUUCCCCGGCCCGACCAUCACCGCGCAAAAGGGGGAGGUCUUCAUUGUCAACGUCUACAACCAGGGCAAUAAACCCAUCACCAUCCACUGGUAA